AUCCAGAUGACGAGUCUGAAAUAGGAUGAAACGCCUGUCUUGGAU
rnacentral:hammerhead_ribozyme from 1 species